AUCUUCGGGGCAGGGCGCAAUUCCCUACCGGCGGUACAGUCCGCGACCACUUUUAAAGUGAAUGAACCGGUGCAAUUCCGGUACCGACAGUGACAGUCUGGAUGAGAGAAGAU
rnacentral:ncRNA from 1 species